AAAGAGAGAGAGGAGAGGGGGCUGUGCUCUCCCUGGCAUCUCCAUCUCAUAACUCUUCUGCCGCUCAGUGUGUUCAUACACACACAUAGACACACACAUAUUCAUACAGCCUGAAGACAACCCUGAGGACUACAGCACCAUGUUCAGUAUAAUACACUUUAGACCGAGCAGCGAGUGUGAAAACGCCUUCAGGGAGGAAAUAAUGCUUUGUGUGGUAGGUGACGGAUCUUUUGUAACAGAUUUGGCCCAUGAACAUAGUAGGAAGGAAGAUAAAGAGGAGGUGUGAUGAACCCCUUCAGCUCCUGUUCGAAUGAAGCCAUCUGGGAACAAACAUGAGUCAUAGCAUUAUUAUUAGACCUGUUAGACUUGAUACCUUUAUGUUGCAAAUUUAAUGUCAACAGUAUUUCAAUAGUUCAGACCUGAUUAUUCAAUCAUAAAGCAUGUUUUUAUCCAUUUCUCGCUUUCUGCUGCUGUUUCUUUGCAAUGCCUGUUUUUUUCUGUCACGUUUCUAUUUUUUUUUUUUUUCAUAUUAAGGCAGUAAUGUAUAUAUGCCAUCAAUGUCUUAACACCUUUUACGUCCUUUUGUAUUUAACCUUAUAUGCUAACCUGACUGAUUGGACGAUUUGUCCUUGUAAGAUGAUGAUAUAUGUCCCGACAUGAGAGGGGAAGCACUUAGGUGUCCACCCUGCUUCUGCAUCAAUUCAUACUCAGUUUGCCCUUUUCUCCAGCACCUUCUACUCUCAAAGGAAUAGCUUGAGUGUUUGGGAAACCUGCUUGUUUGCCUUUUUUUCCAAGAGUUAACGGGGAAGAUCAAUACCCCUUUUAUUUCUGUCUAUUAAACAUGAAGCUACAGCCAAAAGCUGCUUACCUUAGCAUAAAGACUAGAUACAGGGACAGCUAGCUUGUUUUCCAGCACCUCUAAAGCUAAUUAACUUAUAUACCCCUCUGUUCAAACCCGGAAGUGUAAAAAUGACAUGGCCCUUAAUGUAUGUAAUGAAAUGCAUACAAAAAUACAUUUGAAGUGAUAUUUUACCAAGACAUCCGUAUUAAUACAUCAAAGACACAUGCGAUGAUGAUGUCAUACAACUACUGAAUUAGAAUACUGGCACCUUUUUUGGUCCAAUUCAAACACUGGAACACAUCCCCCCAAACCACAAUCUCGAUUUUACACUUUGAUUUCUGUUCGAAUUAAACUACAUGUUCAUCAGUGAGCUUUGGUGCAGUGAAGUUGCUACCUCAGACAGAGACAGGUUAGCUGUUUCCAGUCUUAAUGCUAAACUAAGCUAACAGCUGCUGGCUGGCUAUGUCAUAUUUAACAUACAAACAUGAGAGUGGUAUCAAUCUCCUCAUAUUAUUCAAAGCAUGGUAUUUUUCCAAAAUGUCAAAGUACUCCUUUAAAAACACCCUUAUUAACGUUAAAAUAUCAUCUCAGAAGUAGUGUUAGUCACUUUAGGUGGAGUAACAGGGGUUUCCUCCAAGCUUGUAUCUACAAAAACAUCCCUUUGAACUUUAUGAGGUCAACUUGUUCACUGUGUUAGCUCUGUUUUUUUUUAUUUGGCUCUGGUUUUCAAUGUAACCACACCCUCUGCUGUUCGUUUGUAGAAUCAAUGGGCCAUCGUGCAGCGAGAGGCAGCCUCCCUCUACAAACAACAGCUAUAUUUGACUGCAUCCAACUAGCAGCACGAGGCUUACCAGUCCAUACACUAUAACACAAUAUCAAAGGAUGUCUUUUUCUGUAUCCAACUUGUCUUGUAUUGAAUGUUUAAGCACAAUGUACUGUCUAUAAAAUCAGAAGACUGCACUCAGAAACUGAUUUCAUUUGGUGACGUAGAUGUUUGUACCCAGUCUCUAGCACCAUAUGAAAACAGUGUUCUGGGUGAUGGUAUAUCAGCAUGUAAGCACAACUUCUGUGUUUUAUGGAACAAUUAAAAUGUACACAGAAAUAAUACCCUAUUUCUUAAGGACUGUUAUGACCAAUGUGUUGUGUUCAUUUGUGAACUUCUAAAUGAGAGGGGGGGGACCUAUCUACCUAUGAAGAGUUUAUCCAUCACAGAGGAUUGGACAUUUCUCGAACUCAACAUUCCAGAGUACUUAAAAGUAUAUCCACUAAUUUGCUGACUCUCAUUAAAGAGUAAUUGUCAUAUGAACCUUUUGUUUGGAUGAUUCAAAUUGGGGCUGGGUGGAAAGGCUCUCAAGGAACGUUCUUGUAACAAUGCUCAUAUCAGAAGUGUUAUUACUUCUAUUGAGAGUUAGGGUCCAAUUUCCUUUUAUCAUUGAAAAGUAAUGUUUCCUGACAUUACCAGGAAUGUUUGGACUGAAUUCAGUAGAUUGUUUUGUCCCCAAUAAGGUUAAAGAAACUCAAUAUUAAAAUUUUACACAGAUAUUGUCCAUGCAAUGAAUUAUUCAUAAAUUUAGACAUGAUGUUUCCCCUGUAUGUUACUUCUGCAAAGAGGAGAUUGAGUCCUUGUCUCAUUUAUUUUAUGCUUGUAAUCAUUCAUGUAACUUUUGUACACAAAUUUCUUUGUUAAUUUGGGAGACUCAUAAGGUCUUGGUUCGUAUUACAGAAUGUAUGGUCUUAUUUUUGAAUGUACAGUCCAACAACAGGGAAGUUAUUAACGUGAUAAAAUUGCUGUGCCUUUUGUACCCCAGAGGGAUUUGUUAUGUUUAAGGGUAUUGAUGAAGUCAAUAAUCUCAUGGUAAGUCAACGGAGCAUCACAAGACUCUUGGUCUACAGUAUUAAUGGGAUUAACCCUGAUUGAGUUUAAGAAAGACGUUGCACUCUUUUCUCAGUAUCAAGAGUUUAUUUUUCACUCAUUGAAAGACUCUCAGGCGGCUUUUGGGAAAGAGAGGUUAUGAUAGAUAUUACAUAAAUUUCAUCUCUCCUCCUUGGCUUGAUCUGAACUGAAAUUUCAAAUUUCAUAAGUUCCCAUUCGACCUAAUAUUUGUUCUCAGUUUUAGCUUCAAUUACAGUAUUGCUGAAUUAAUUUCUUUAAAUGUAAAUGGACUGUUUUUAUAAAAUGCUUUUCUAGUCUUUACAACCACUCAAAGCGCUUUAACAUAGUACAGGAACUAUUCACCAUUCAUUCAUGUUGUAAAACUCAACUAUUUAACUUCCAGUAUGAAGUAUGGACACGACAAGAGGAGGGGAACAGAGAGAUAUGACUAUGAAUAGCUUUGUGAUCUGUAAAGGAGUAGCCAAAUUUGUGCUGUUGCAUUCUCUGUAAGGUUUUUGGAAACUAACCAAUAAUCAAUUCUGGAUUGGAAGGAUCUGGUAUUAUUAGACCAAGUGUAUACUCUAUCUGAUGACCCUGGUGAUGUACAUGUCCUGUAGUGAUGGGAAGGCUGCUCCACAGAUGAGUUGUGCAGUUUUUAUAACACAUUGGACAGUCUUCCGUUCCCGAGCACUGCCGUCUCCAUACCACACUGUGAUGGAGCUGCUGAUGACACUGUCCACUGUACAUCUGUAGAAGUUUCUGAGGAUUUUGGUUGACAUGCCAAAUUUCCUCAGCCUCCUUAGGAAGUACAGUCUCUGCUGAGCUUUCUAAAGGAGCUGGUGGCAGUUUUGAGAUCCUCGCUGAUGUUUGUUCCGAGGAAUUUAAAGGUUUUCACUCGCUCCACCUCUGUCCCCACCAAUGUAUAGUGGUGUGUGCUGCACCUUCCUCCAUUUCCUUGUAUCGCUCAUCAUCUCCUUGGUCUUGUCAAGCAAGUCUUCGUUUUCCGUAGUAUAUCCAUAUUAGUGAUAAUUAAAACAACCUUAUUGAAUUUAAUUACUUGACAUAUAUAGUGAUCUUUUACAUCAAUAUGUGAAUAUUACCUGUAAAGUUGUUUUUCAAUGUUCCCACAUCUGCUGAAUGUACCGACCCAUGUGACCGCCACAAAUUAACCUCAUCAGCUGUAGAAUUAAGAAAAACACAAAAUCUAUUAUAUAUAAUGCUUUGCAAACAAGAAUAAGGCUUUGCGCUUCCUAUUUUUCCUUAACCCCCAGCAUUAAGAGAGACAAAAGAUAAAGACAGAUUGAACUAUGAAUAGCUAGAUAAUAAGUCACAAGUAACUUACCACAAACUAUUGCAAAGACACAGAGAACUGCACCAUUUAUAGUUAUAAAUAUGUGAAUAUUAAAGCAAAAGCGAUGUAACGUUAGCCCUUAAGCCUCUUUAGUAGGCUAUAAAUAUUUAUAACAUUAGACCAAAUCUUAAAAAAUAAGGUCCCCCCCCCCCCCAUGUAUCAUCAACUAGUUUGCAACAUUUUAACUAUUGCAGCAGUCACUAUAAAAAGUUUGUAUUGCUCUUUUGAAGUAUUGACCAAAACCAAAAAAAUCUAACACAUCAAAUGAAAGACUAUAUGCUUUACAGUAUCAAAGGCUUUAUAUGUCUAUGAAUGAAUGAAUCAAACUGAUGAUAGAUAUUGUGAGAUAUUGUUUAUGAUGAAUAUUCCCAUUAAAAUUGUACCUAAAGAUUCCUA